AGGGGUAUACAAUGCAACCCAGUAGACAUUCGUCUUCGUACAUUUAUGUGAACGCAAAAGUGUGUUACAGACUAGAACAAAUUAUUGACUGAACCGUUCGUUACAGCAGGAUUUUGGUUUCCAAGCACACAGAUUUAUGGUGAUAUACGUGUUCGAGGAGAAUAGGAGAUCGAGGGGUGAGGGCGUUCACGCCGUCGGACGCUGGAAGCCGCUUAUCUGGAAAACCAGCCGAUAAUGCGCGGAGCUAUAUGGCACUACACACACACUCACUCACUAGAGAGUAUAAGGGAAGCGGGGUUAUCAUGGCGAUGAAGGGGAAUACGUUCAUUUCAACCCGUCUUCAGUGAAGAAUUGUACGACGGUGGGGGAGGGCAGAAGGAAUUGAAGAUGGGAGAAGAAUCACAGUAGGGAAAAGAAAAAUCUAUGAAGUUGACCGAAAUGCUGAGGUCCGGCAAUAUGGCGAAAGAGAAGAAGAAAAAUGAGAAGAAAGGAGGAUGGAUGGGUUGUUGGUUCUGUGUGUGUGUGUGAGUAAUUUACACACACGUAGAAGGAGGUUUGUUCGUGCAAGAUUAAGAUGAAGCGUCUAAGUUCUCUCUCCUCCGCGACGUCACGCGUAUGGGCGGCCAAUGAUGUUACAGUCUGCAUGCCCGUAAAUGUCCAGAAAGGAACAUUCCACCUGCCUCCGAUAUUCUCUUGGCGUCAUUUUGUUCGCCACGUCUUCUUUACCGAGAUUGUGACAGCGAACAGUAGGAACAUAAGGAUGGGAUGCGAAUUUUAAAUUGAUUUUACUUAUAUCAGACUCAUGUUCAAUUUGCAUUAGUCCAGAAAUAUUAAUGAUUGUAACGGUGACUGGCAUAUAUAUGUGCAUUGAAUGCAUGUGUCAUUUGCCGGCACCUGGUUAGAAUUUCAUGACUAACCACCAAGCGCUACAAAAUUUCCGUACACGAGACAAGUAUUGCUCCAGAAAAACUAUGAAAUCAGCUUAUCUUUUGUACAGCAGUUCUGCCAGAAGCCGGGAAAAGACAUUCGGUUUAACUGCUUACUGCCAACAAUACUAACUGGACUGCCAUAAUAAUUUAGAAGUAUAAGAAUAUUACCACAGUUUUAUGCGUUGCCCUGUAAUUUUGUAAAGUGAUACGAUAUUAAGUAAUGUGUGCAAGUUUAUUAAAGUCGUUGUGGUAAAUUCAGAAUAGACGUAAGAACAUAAGGGCCGUGGAAAAUAUUUUGCUCUCUUACCUGUAGCAAAUUAUUUGUGUGAAGAGUGUAUAGCGACAUUUCAAUACCCGUAGUCUCGGUACAAGCUAUUUUAAGACAAACGUAAAAAUGUACAGUACUCCAGAAUUUUAAUUUAACCAUGUCUUUAAUAAUUGUUCCGAAAAUGAACCAAAUCAAGAAUUAACCGUUAAUAUUAUUCACUACUGCCAUACAUCGUUAGUCUACAAUUUAAAUAGAACCGUUUUCGUUCCGAAAGCAGUAUGUCUUAAUUUAGCAAUUUGUUACUCAGACAGACAUUUAAACUAAAACCUUCAAUAAGUCAUAAAAUAAUAUAUCGUUGCUAAAUUUAACAUUGAAUCAAGGUUUAACAUUUCCCACUAGACUCACUUUCACACACUCGCAGUUUCAUUUACACCUGAUGUCCUGUUAUUGCCAACAGAAUUACUGUAUUCAUAAGACUAAAAUAUUUAUCAGUGUGUCUAUGCACAUUCAGGCAUAUGUAUGUGAUGAAUUUCUAUCCCGUUUCAGAAACGCUUUCAUUCCCUAGAAUUACCUGUUCUAAGCUAGUCUAUAGAAAUUCAGACGCUCUAAAAUAAAAAUGGAACAAAAAGAAACUUCUAAAAUUUAUAAACACGCUUCACCUCUCGCCUAAGAUUAAUUUAUAGAUGUAGAUACAUCAGCUUACAGAUUUUAAACAUACUACAACGGACUCAGAUAUGUACGGGUUGUUCAUGGAUGACGUAUCUCUUUAAAAGAGUAAUUUUCACAUUUCUGAGUGUAAAGUAUCCUGUAUCUUCUUUCGUUUGAUUAUUUCAUCUUUAUUCUUUUGCUCUGCUUCAUAUCAAUAUAUAAUAACUUACAUAAAUCCGAUCCAUAUGUACGGUUAAAAAAUCUGUCUCUUUGUAGAGAAAAGGUGAUACAAAUAGGCUUAAAUGACACAGGGAAGUGUAACAUCAAAACACUUUAUUAUCCUCUGUGCAAUUACAAUCAGUUCCACACAUCGGCGGCUCAGCGUGUGAGUAUUCAUAUGCGUCGUAAAAUGGAAUUAAGACACC